AGCUGCUAAUCCAAUCUUCUCUCCUAGUAGAGCUCCAAUAAUUUGAUUGUGUUGUGUAGGGCACUCUGGAGCACCUGAGGGAUGAGAAUGAAAUACUGUAGAUGAGCAGAGAAACUGCUGAAAUGCCUUCCUGCAUCAGUGCUCCGAGUACGUCAUGAGAUUGCUGCUGCUCACCCUCAGACCCAGGACUUUUCCAGCCAUCCCAAGCCAUUGAGGGGAGCACAGGGAGCUCAGCAGGACCAUGUCCCUCCUUUGGGGCUGUCCCCACCGCCAGGACUGUGCCACUGCCUGGGCCAGCAAUGUCCCCAGUGGGGUCACACCUGGCCACACACCUUCCUGCAGAUCCUGGCAGGUUUGCUCUGAAUUCCUAAACACUUCAUCCUGGGCUUUACAGUCCUGUUUGUCUUCACUGUUCUACAAAGAGACAGGAGAAAUCCUCUGCUGCUUCAGAUAAAUAAUGCCCAUGGUGGAAGAAGUUUUCUUGCCAUGAAACUUUGAAGGAGAUGGCAACAUUUCAAAGGACAGCCAGAAGGUUUUAAAGGCAAUGAUGUUGAAAGAACAUGGAGUAUGACUAAGAGGAGGGUGAAUUAAAAAAAAAACCC